ACCUUUACAGGUUGUCCACUCCAAGUCCUAAUCGGAUCAUCCUUCUCAAGAGUGCUAGCUCGCGAAGAAGGCACUAGAUGGCUGGAAUAAAUUUCUUCCUUUGGAUCACCCAGACUCUUUCAGAUUAGAGAAUGGAGCUAUAUGAGGAGGUGGUGGUGUGGGAGAUUAGAAUAAGAUUCUCUUAUAUUUCUUCUGAUAUAAAAAUCUAGAGCCGAAAUCCUAAAACCCACCCUAGACCUCACGCC
rnacentral:lncRNA from 1 species